UACGUAGGGGGCAAGCGUUGUCCGGAAUCAUUGGGCGUAAAGAGCGCGUAGGCGGUCCGGUAAGACCGCUCUGAAAGUCCGGGGCUCUACCCCGGGAGGCGGGCGGAUACUGUCGGGCUAGAGUCCGGAAGAGGCGAGUGGAAUUCCUGGUGUAGCGGUGAAAUGCGCAGAUAUCAGGAGGAACACCAAUGGCGAAGGCAGCUUGCUGGGACGGUACUGACGCUGAGGCGCGAAAGCUAGGGGAGCAAACGGG
rnacentral:rRNA from 1 species